GGGGAUGUAGUUAAUAAUAACAUCUAAUUUGCAAUUAGAAAGAACUACAUUUUAGUCUUCCUCA
rnacentral:tRNA from 1 species